rnacentral:sRNA from 1 species
CGACAGGAGCCAGGACCCGUGUAGGAGAUGGUUCUCGCCAUGCUGGGGGCUCUGCACCCCCGGGCUGGGCUCAGCCUCUUCCUCCACCUCAUCCUGGCAGUGGCACUGCUUCGCUCCCAGCCUCUGAGGUGACUCCUGGGGCACAGAGGGCAGGGCACUUGGGCUGGAUGGUGGAGGUGCUGCCCCUCCCCUCUCUGGAGUGGGGCUGGCCCUGGUACCCUGGGCGUUCGAGGGCUUGCCAAGUGCCCCCACACUGAGCCAUCCCCCCAUUCACAAGGAGGUGGCGGUGGCCUUCUGGGCCAGGGCUGAGCACCCCGACAUCUCCCACAGGUCUCAGCGGUCUGUUCCUGAGGCAUUUUCCGCCCCUCUGGAACUCUCGCAGCCACUUUCCGGCCUGGUGGAUGGUAGUAUCUCUCUUGUCCCCUUCCCCUACCCAUCCCUGACAGUGGAGACACCCCUAAGAGGUGCCCCAAGUCCAGCCUUCAGGGGCUUGUCAUCCCAAACCACAUCUGUUCAAUGGUGACUUCAGUUCCAUCAGAGCCAGCUGCCCCCUACCACCCAUGCCCUCUUUUCUCUCUUUAGACUAUGGCAUCCUCCCCAAGCACCCAAGGCCGCAAGGGCCUCGACCCCUCCUGUCUAGGGCCCAGCAGCGCAAGCGGGACGGGCCCGACCUUGCCGAGUAUUACUAUGAUGCACACCUAUGACCCAAGGCCCUCAUAAAGAUACCAUGUGUGACAAAGGCUUGGCUUUCCUGGGCUGG